CUUGGAAAGUUUUGUUGGCUUAUAGAAAAUCAACUAAUUCCAAAAAACAAGAAGAAUCUUAUAAAAACUAAAUGGUGAAUUUACUGCAAAGAAGUGAAAAAGAGAUGGAAGAGUAUGAAAGACAGUUGCCAGAAAAGUAUUAAAAGGAUUGGAAAAAAAAGAAGAUGCAGGGAAAGCAAAGAAACCAUACGUUCAUCAUAAUCAACUCAAAUGACAUUCUGUCAAAGUUAACGAACAAAGAGAAUCAGAAUUUAAGUGUUUCCUUGGCUGUAGUUAUAGCCUAGAGUUUCAUCAUGAAAUUUUGGAAUUUCUUAAGGCAACUUCAUGGAAUUUUUGUUUCUUUUUGU